GGUGAACGCUGGCGGCGUGCCUAAUACAUGCAAGUCGAGCGAACGGACGAGAAGCUUGCUUCUCUGAUGUUAGCGGCGGACGGGUGAGUAACACGUGGAUAACCUACCUAUAAGACUGGGAUAACUUCGGGAAACCGGAGCUAAUACCGGAUAAUAUUUUGAACCGCAUGGUUCAAAAGUGAAAGACGGUCUUGCUGUCACUUAUAGAUGGAUCCGCGCUGCAUUAGCUAGUUGAUAAGGUAACGGCUUACCAAGGCAACGAUGCAUAGCCGACCUGAGAGGGUGAUCGGCCACACUGGAACUGAGACACGGUCCAGACUCCUACGGGAGGCAGCAGUAGGGAAUCUUCCGCAAUGGGCGAAAGCCUGACGGAGCAACGCCGCGUGAGUGAUGAAGGUCUUCGGAUCGUAAAACUCUGUUAUUAGGGAAGAACAUAUGUGUAAGUAACUGUGCACAUCUUGACGGUACCUAAUCAGAAAGCCACGGCUAACUACGUG
rnacentral:rRNA from 1 species